rnacentral:rRNA from 1 species
UACAGAGGGGGCGAGCGUUGUUCGGAAUUACUGGGCGUAAAGGGCGCGUAGGCGGCCUUCUAAGUCGAACGUGAAAUCCCCGGGCUCAACCUGGGAACUGCAUUUGUGACUGCAUGGCUAGAGUACGGUAGAGGGGGAUGGAAUUCCGCGUGUAGCAGUGAAAUGCGUAGAUAUGCGGAGGAACACCGAUGGCGAAGGCAAUCCCCUGGACCUGUACUGACGCUCAUGCACGAAAGCGUGGGGAGCAAACAGG